rnacentral:rRNA from 1 species
AGUGAACGCUGGCGGCAGGCCUAACACAUGCAAGUCGAGCGGCAGCGGGUUCCCGCGAGGGGAUGCCGGCGAGCGGCGGACGGGUGAGGAACACAUCGGAAUCUGCCUGGUUGUGGGGGAUAACGUAGGGAAACUUACGCUAAUACCGCAUGCGACCCUGAGUCGACGGACUUGGGGUGAAAGUGAGGGACCUUCGGCCUCACGCGACCAGAUGAGCCGAUGUCGGAUUAGCUAGUUGGCGGGGUAACGGCCCGCCAAGGCGACGAUCCGUAGCUGGUCUGAGAGGAUGAUCAGCCACACUGGGACUGAGACACGGCCCAGACUCCUACGGGAGGCAGCAGUGGGGAAUCUUGGACAAUGGGCGCAAGCCUGAUCCAGCCAUGCCCGCGU